rnacentral:rRNA from 1 species
UACAGAGGUCUCAAGCGUUGUUCGGAUUCAUUGGGCGUAAAGGGUGCGUAGGCGGCGCGGUAAGUCGGGUGUGAAAUCCCGAGGCUCAACCUCGGAACUGCCUUCGAUACUGGCGAUCUUCGAGUCCGGGAGAGGUGAGUGGAACUCCGAGUGUAGAGGUGAAAUUCGUAGAUAUUCGGAAGAACACCAGUGGCGAAGGCGGCAUUCUGGACCGACAUUGACGCUGAGGAGCGAAAGCCAGGGGGAGCAAACGGG